CAUAUAUUCAUAUUUCUUUACACUUCAGUUUGUGAAUAUGAAACUAUUUAUUCUGAUGGCUUUAUGUCUUAUUUCUCUCUCUGUGCCUUCGAUGGCAAGUCCACAACAACCUCUUCCCCCAAUGCGACCAUAUCCAUAUCCAGGACAUGGUUCUGGUUAAGGACAAAAGUCAUCGUAAAUAAAACGAAUUUUGCAAUUUUAAAAUA